rnacentral:antisense_RNA from 4 species
UGUUAUGGCGGCUGUGCGUGGGAGACCUUCGGGUCUGCCGGUUUUCCUAUUUACCCGGUUCGCCAACCUGCGUACAGCUGCCACCCUA